rnacentral:rRNA from 1 species
UACGAAGGGGGCUAGCGUUGUUCGGAAUCACUGGGCGUAAAGCGCACGUAGGCGGAUUUGUUAGUCAGGGGUGAAAUCCCGGAGCUCAACUCCGGAACUGCCUUUGAUACUGCAAGUCUCGAGUCCGAUAGAGGUGGGUGGAAUUCCUAGUGUAGAGGUGAAAUUCGUAGAUAUUAGGAAGAACACCGGUGGCGAAGGCGGCCCACUGGAUCGGUACUGGCGCUGAGGUGCGAAAGCGUGGGGAGCAAACAGG